UAGGGAAUCUUCCGCAAUGGACGAAAGUCUGACGGAGCAACGCCGCGUGAGUGAAGAAGGCUUUCGGUUCGUAAAACUCUGUUGUUAGGGAAGAAAAAAUGUAUAGUAACUAUAUACAAAAGAGACGGUACCUAACCAGAAAGCCACGGCUAACUACGUGCCAGCAGCCGCGGUAAUACGUAGGUGGCAAGCGUUGUCCGGAAUUAUUGGGCGUAAAGCGCGCGCAGGUGGUUUAGAAAGUCUGAUGUGAAAGCCCACGGCUCAACCGUGGAGGGUCAUUGGAAACUAAUAAACUUGAGUGCAGGAGAGAAAAGGGGAAUUCCUAGUGUAGCGGUGAAAUGCGUAGAGAUUAGGAGGAACACCGGUGGCGAAAGCGGCUUUUUGGCCUGCAACUGACACUGAGGCGCGAAAGCGUGGGGAGCAAACAGG
rnacentral:rRNA from 1 species